ACAUGCCUACAACAUAGUGUUAAUGCAUUGGAUCCCAUUAGAACUCCGUAGUUAAGCGUGUUUGAGCUAGAGUAGCACUGGGAUGGGUGAUCGCCCGGGAAGUCCUAAUAGUUUACAUGCC
rnacentral:rRNA from 1 species